rnacentral:rRNA from 1 species
GAUGAACGCUGGCGGCGUGCCUAAUACAUGCAAGUCGAGCGAACAGAUGAGGAGCUUGCUCCUCUGACGUUAGCGGCGGACGGGUGAGUAACACGUGGAUAACCUACCUCUAAGACUGGGAUAACUUCGGGAAACCGGAGCUAAUACCGGAUAAUAUAUUGAACCGCAUGGUUCAAUAGUGAAAGACGGUUUUGCUGUCACUUAUAGAUGGAUCCGCGCCGCAUUAGCUAGUUGGUAAGGUAACGGCUUACCAAGGCAACGAUGCGUAGCCGACCUGAGAGGGUGAUCGGCCACACUGGAACUGAGACACGGUCCAGACUCCUACGGGAGGCAGCAGUAGGGAAUCUUCCGCAAAGGGCGAAAGCCUGACGGAGCAACGCCGCGUGAGUGAUGAAGGUCUUCGGAUCGUAAAACUCUGUUAUUAGGGAAGAACAAAUGUGUAAGUAACUAUGCACGUCUUGACGGUACCUAAUCAGAAAGCCACGGCUAACUACGUG